rnacentral:rRNA from 1 species
CCGGCGAUUUCCGAAUGGGGAAACCCAGUGUGUUUCGACACACUAUCAUUAACUGAAUCCAUAGGUUAAUGAGGCGAACCGGGGGAACUGAAACAUCUAAGUACCCCGAGGAAAAGAAAUCAACCGAGAUUCCCCCAGUAGCGGCGAGCGAACGGGGAGGAGCCCAGAGCCUGAAUCAGUGUGUGUGUUAGUGGAAGCGUCUGGAAAGGCGCGCGAUACAGGGUGACAGCCCCGUACACAAAAAUGCACAUAUUGUGAGCUCGAUGAGUAGGGCGGGACACGUGGUAUCCUGUCUGAAUAUGGGGGGACCAUCCUCCAAGGCUAAAUACUCCUGACUGACCGAUAGUGAACCAGUACCGUGAGGGAAAGGCGAAAAGAACCCCGGCGAGGGGAGUGAAAAAGAACCUGAAACCGUGUACGUACAAGCAGUGGGAGCCUCUUUAUGGGGUGACUGCGUACCUUUUGUAUAAUGGGUCAGCGACUUAUAUUCUGUAGCAAGGUUAACCGAAUAGGGGAGCCGAAGGGAAACCGAGUCUUAACUGGGCGUUAAGUUGCAGGGUAUAGACCCGAAACCCGGUGAUCUAGCCAUGGGCAGGUUGAAGGUUGGGUAACACUAACUGGAGGACCGAACCGACUAAUGUUGAAAAAUUAGCGGAUGACUUGUGGCUGGGGGUGAAAGGCCAAUCAAACCGGGAGAUAGCUGGUUCUCCCCGAAAGCUAUUUAGGUAGCGCCUCGUGAAUUCAUCUCCGGGGGUAGAGCACUGUUUCGGCAAGGGGGUCAUCCCGACUUACCAACCCGAUGCAAACUGCGAAUACCGGAGAAUGUUAUCACGGGAGACACACGGCGGGUGCUAACGUCCGUCGUGAAGAGGGAAACAACCCAGACCGCCAGCUAAGGUCCCAAAGUCAUGGUUAAGUGGGAAACGAUGUGGGAAGGCCCAGACAGCCAGGAUGUUGGCUUAGAAGCAGCCAUCAUUUAAAGAAAGCGUAAUAGCUCACUGGUCGAGUCGGCCUGCGCGGAAGAUGUAACGGGGCUAAACCAUGCACCGAAGCUGCGGCAGCGACACUAUGUGUUGUUGGGUAGGGGAGCGUUCUGUAAGCCUGUGAAGGUGGCCUGUGAGGGUUGCUGGAGGUAUCAGAAGUGCGAAUGCUGACAUAAGUAACGAUAAAGCGGGUGAAAAGCCCGCUCGCCGGAAGACCAAGGGUUCCUGUCCAACGUUAAUCGGGGCAGGGUGAGUCGACCCCUAAGGCGAGGCCGAAAGGCGUAGUCGAUGGGAAACAGGUUAAUAUUCCUGUACUUGGUGUUACUGCGAAGGGGGGACGGAGAAGGCUAUGUUGGCCGGGCGACGGUUGUCCCGGUUUAAGCGUGUAGGCUGGUUUUCCAGGCAAAUCCGGAAAACCAAGGCUGAGGCGUGAUGACGAGGCACUACGGUGCUGAAGCGACAAAUGCCCUGCUUCCAGGAAAAGCCUCUAAGCAUCAGGUAACAUCAAAUCGUACCCCAAACCGACACAGGUGGUCAGGUAGAGAAUACCAAGGCGCUUGAGAGAACUCGGGUGAAGGAACUAGGCAAAAUGGUGCCGUAACUUCGGGAGAAGGCACGCUGAUAUGUAGGUGAAGCGACUUGCUCGUGGAGCUGAAAUCAGUCGAAGAUACCAGCUGGCUGCAACUGUUUAUUAAAAACACAGCACUGUGCAAACACGAAAGUGGACGUAUACGGUGUGACGCCUGCCCGGUGCCGGAAGGUUAAUUGAUGGGGUUAGCGGUAACGCGAAGCUCUUGAUCGAAGCCCCGGUAAACGGCGGCCGUAACUAUAACGGUCCUAAGGUAGCGAAAUUCCUUGUCGGGUAAGUUCCGACCUGCACGAAUGGCGUAAUGAUGGCCAGGCUGUCUCCACCCGAGACUCAGUGAAAUUGAACUCGCUGUGAAGAUGCAGUGUACCCGCGGCAAGACGGAAAGACCCCGUGAACCUUUACUAUAGCUUGACACUGAACAUUGAGCCUUGAUG